rnacentral:rRNA from 1 species
AGUGAACGCUGGCGGUAGGCCUAACACAUGCAAGUCGAACGGCAGCACAGUAAGAGCUUGCUCUUACGGGUGGCGAGUGGCGGACGGGUGAGGAAUACAUCGGAAUCUACUUUUUCGUGGGGGAUAACGUAGGGAAACUUACGCUAAUACCGCAUACGACCUACGGGUGAAAGCAGGGGAUCUUCUGACCUUGCGCGAUUGAAUGAGCCGAUGUCGGAUUAGCUAGUUGGCGGGGUAAAGGCCCACCAAGGCGACGAUCCGUAGCUGGUCUGAGAGGAUGAUAAGCCACACUGGAACUGAGACACGGUCCAGACUCCUACGGGAGGCAGCAGUGGGGAAUAUUGGACAAUGGGCGCAAGCCUGAUCCAGCCAUACCGAGUGGGUGAAGAAGGCCUUCGGGUUGUAAAGCCCUUUUGUUGGGAAAGAAAAGCAGCAGGUUAAUACCUCGCUGUUCUGACGGUACCCAAAGAAUAAGCACCGGCUAACUUCGUG